rnacentral:lncRNA from 1 species
CCACAGGAGACUUUUCUUUCUCCCUAAUAGUAAGUUUGCUGCUUGAAAGCCUUAACACAAAACAUUUUCCAAGACUCAGGUCCUUGCCUUCCUGAUGAAUGGAAACUUGUUAGACAAUAGCCUCAACCACUGUGAAGCAGUUAAUCUCAGGAUCUCACCCUCAGGAGCUGCAGCAUGGAGUGUUGGGCCACUGUCAUAAGGAAGACUGCAAGAGUGAAGAAAGGUCUGAUUGAUCACAAGGUCCUAUCAAAUGUCAAAGCUGGCCCUGGCUGACCUCCCAUCUAUUCAGAGCUGCUUUGAUUUAAUCUCCAAACUGGCUUCUUCUCCAGGCUGGAAGAGAAUUGAAAAUUUCAACAAGGCAAAAGUUAUGAAAGUGUCUUCAUGGAACCUUUGGGUAUGAUGAAUUAGCACAGAUGAUUUGAGUUCUAAGAUCUGGCUCGGACCCUAACUACCUAUCAACCUGGAGUAAGUCAUUUUGAUGGCCUUAGGUACUUAAUAUGUAGUCACCUGUGGGAUCACUGCUCC